CGCGGCGUGGAGCAGUGGCAGCUCGCCAGGCUCAUAACCUGGAGGUCGUAGGUUCGAAUCCUGCCGCCGCAA
rnacentral:tRNA from 1 species